rnacentral:ribozyme from 1 species
GUACUUUUUUUUUUUUUUUUUUUUUUUUUUUUUUUUUUUUUUUUUUUUUUUUUCCUCACAGCUGCGA